rnacentral:rRNA from 1 species
AUUGAACGCUGGCGGCAGGCCUAACACAUGCAAGUCGGGCGACUUUGGCUUCGGCCAGAAGAGCGGCGAACGGGUGAGUAACACGUAGGAAUCUGCCUGGUAGUGGGGGACAACGUUCCGAAAGGGACGCUAAUACCGCAUACGCCCUAUGGGGGAAAGCUGGGGAUCUUCGGACCUAGUGCUAUCAGAUGGGCCUGCGUCGGAUUAGCUAGUUGGCGGGGUAAAGGCCCACCAAGGCGACGAUCCGUAACUGGUCUGAGAGGAUGAUCAGUCACACCGGAACUGAGACACGGUCCGGACUCCUACGGGAGGCAGCAGUGGGGAAUAUUGGACAAUGGGGGCAACCCUGAUCCAGCCAUGCCGCGUGUGUGAAGAAGGCCUUCGGGUUGUAAAGCACUUUAGGUCGGGAGGAAGGUUCGCUGGCUAAUAUCCAGCGGAAUUGACGUUACCGACAGAAUAAGCACCGGCUAGCUUCGUGCCAGCCGCCGCGGUAA